rnacentral:rRNA from 1 species
CCUACGGGAGGCAGCAGUGAGGAAUAUUGGUCAAUGGCCGGAAGGCUGAACCAGCCAUGCCGCGUGAAGGUCAGUGCCCUAUGGGCGUUAAACUUCUUUUGUGCGGGAGCAAUAAUGGUCACGUGUGGCCAGACGAGAGUACCGUACGAAUAAGCAUCGGCUAACUCCGUGCCAGCGGCCGCGGUAAUACGGGGGAUGCAAGCGUUAUCCGGAUUUAUGGGGUUUAAAGGGUGCGUAGGCUGUGAGGUAAGUCAGCGGUGAAAUGCCCCCGCUCAACGGGGUGAAGUGCCAUUGAUACUGCCUUGCUGGAAUGCGGAUGCCGUGGGAGGAAUGUGUGGUGUAGCGGUGAAAUGCAUAGAUAUCACACAGAACACCGAUUGCGAAGGCAUCUCACGAAUCCGCGAUUGACGCUGAUGCACGAAAGCGUGGGUAUCAAACAGGAUUAGAUACCCCUGUAGUC